CGCUANGCUNCUNNNNGCUUAAUNANGCAAGUCGUAACANNGUAACCGUAAAUUGUUGCUGGGUGGACGAGUGACGNANGGNUGAGUAACGCGUGAGUAACCUGCCCCUGAUUUCGGGAUAAGCCUGGGAAACUGGGUCUAAUACCGGAUACGACCACCUGACGCAUGUUGGGUGGUGGAAAGUUUUUCGAUCGGGGAUGGGCUCGCGGCCUAUCAGCUUGUUGGUGGGGUAAUGGCCUACCAAGGCGACGACGGGUAGCCGGCCUGAGAGGGCGACCGGCCACACUGGGACUGAGACACGGCCCAAACUCCUACGGGAGGCAGCAGUGGGGAAUAUUGCACAAUGGGGGAAACCCUGAUGCAGCGACGCAGCGUGCGGGAUGACGGCCUUCGGGUUGUAAACCGCUUUCAGCAGGGAAGAAGCGAAAGUGACGGUACCUGCAGAAGAAGUACCGGCUAACUACGUGCCAGCAGCCGCGGUAAUACGUAGGGUACGAGCGUUGUCCGGAAUUAUUGGGCGUAAAGAGCUCCGUAAGUGGUUGGUCACGUCUGCUGUGGAAACGCCACGCUUAACUU
rnacentral:rRNA from 1 species